UACGGAGGGUGCAAGCGUUAUCCGGAUUCACUGGGUUUAAAGGGUGCGUAGGUGGGCAGGUAAGUCAGUGGUGAAAUCUCCGGGCUUAACCCAGAAACUGCCAUUGAUACUAUUUGUCUUGAAUACUGUGGAGGUCAGCGGAAUAUGUCAUGUAGCGGUGAAAUGCUUAGAUAUGACAUAGAACACCAAUUGCGAAGGCAGCUGGCUACACAAAUAUUGACACUGAGGCACGAAAGCGUGGGGAUCAAACAGG
rnacentral:rRNA from 1 species